rnacentral:rRNA from 1 species
AUACGUAGGGAGCGAGCGUUAUCCGGAAUUAUUGGGCGUAAAGGGUGCGUAGACGGCAAUAAAAGUUUCUUGUCAAAUAUCUUGGCUCAACCAAGUAACGCAAGAGAUACUGUAUAGCUAGAGUAUAGGAGAGGUAAGUGGAACUCCAUGUGUAGCGGUAAAAUGCGUAAAUAUAUGGAAGAACACCAGUGGCGAAAGCGGCUUACUAGCCUGAUACUGACGUUGAGGCACGAAAGCGUGGGGAGCAAACAGGAUUAGAUACCCUGGUAGUCCACGCCCUAAACGAUGAGUACUAAGUGUUGGAGCAAUUCAGCGCUGAAGUUAACGCAUUAAGUACUCCGCCUGAGUAGUACGUACGCAAGUAUGAAACUUAAAGGAAUUGACGGGG